GUCUAUGUUUACAGAGAAGCACAGUAUCUCAGACAGUUUAGACACAAAAUCACAAGGUUGUGAGCUCAAAUCCCAGCACUACCAAGCUGUUAGUGCUGGGCCUGUGAGCAAGGUCCACAACACUCACCAGCUCAGUUGUAUACAUGAGAUAAAUGUAAGUCGCUCUGAAUCAGGGCAUCUACCAAAUGCUACUAGCACUUUUAGAUAAUAAAAAAAAAGACAGGACCGACUUCAAAAUAGAGUAUGUACAUGAUUCCCAAUUACAACUGUAUUUACUUUCCAUGUUUUCCCACAUGACAUGACUUAUGAAAGGUCAUGUCAUGAGUGAAAGUAAGAGAACCUCUCACCUGCUUAAAACAGGACGCGCCUGUAAGUACAGGAAAAACCUGUAAGUAACUGCUGGCAUGGCCCUCAUUAUCAAGUACAAGGUUUUCUACAUGAAGAUCACUGCACAAAAGGAUAUAUAUGGGUAAAUGAUUUACAAAAUUACUUAAAAAGUAAUUUUUAAUUACGUUUUAACUGUACAUAAAAAGUACGUAAUUGGCCCACCAUGAGCUGCCAGAUCUGCUUCAACACAACUCGACACGGAAUAUACAAGUCCCUGGAACUGUACUGGAGGGAAAAACACACUCUCCCAUUACGUGUUCGAUUGGGUUGAGAUCAUGUGGCUGUGAAGGCCACAGCAUAUGAUUUACAUGAUUACUCAUCAAACUAGUCACUAAGCCCUUGUGCAUUGUGGAUGAGCGUGUGUCAUCCUGGAAGAGACUACUCUCAUCAGGAUCUAAAGGUUACAUCAUAGGAUAAAGGUGAUCAGCCAGAAUAACUUUGUAAUGAUUUGCAUUGGCCCUUCCAUCCAAGAGGACAAGUGACAACAAAACAGUAUGACAGAGCCACCAUUUUAUUUUCAUUGUCAUCCAUCUGAACAUUAUGACAAUGUUUAUAGGAAACGAGUAAGAGCAGAUAUGUUUAUUGCAGGUUAUAGAAGAUAUUAUACAUUUACAUUAUAAUAACAAUAUUCAAUAAAGUGGAAAUGUAUAUGUAAAAAUUCUAAAUAUGAAUGCUGAUGUCUGUUUGGCUUGGUUUACCUCAGAACUGUGUAGUACUUCUGCCACUUAGUGGCCACUUUCAUUGCUACACUACAAUUAUCAAAGUCUUUUAAGCGGACAAACAGCAUCACAAUCAGAGGUAUCUUACACCUCAUCCCAUUCCCUUUUGUUCAAGGAAGAUCCCUGUGUUAAACUGAAACAAAGUUGCAUUACAGAAAAAUAACAUUUUGUUUCCCAUUAGUUAAUAAAGAUAAAAAAUAUACAGUUAUGCUUUAGUAUUUGAGAUACAAAAUAAUUACACCAAUUUGACAAGCGAUGUAACCAAUAAAUCAGUUAAUAUUAUGUCAACCAAAGCAUAUUCAAGUCUAUAAUAAAUAAAGAAAUCAUUAAGUCACUGUCAAAGUAUACACAGACAUACUGACUUCAACAUGGAGAAAACAUCUGAAGUUAAAAGAUUCUCUGUAUUCUGUCAUUAUGUAGCUUUUUGCUCCUCAAAGUUAUUAAAAUUAUAUAUAUAUAUAUAUUAGCUUAACCUAUACUGUUUGAUUUGUCUGAAGCACAAUCUUAUAAUCCAAAUUUCAGUGCUAAUGACAGACAGAACUUGUAAAAAUUUUAAAAUAAGUUAUAAAACUGAGUUCAUCAACAAAGAAAUCUAAUUUUGACAGAUUGUAAAGGUAGAAAUGAUUCCAUGACAAAUAAUGACAAAAAAGAAGGUGAAAAGGGUACAAUAAAUCAACUCAUCAGCACAUGUGCCAUACAACAACGGAGACAAAUGGAUGAGAUAUGAAUGGAAGUUGCCAAGAGAAAUUUUAAGAAAGUAGUGUCUCUAUGACACAACAAUCCUAUGCUUUACCACAAAAUCAUAAACAAUGUACAUUCCCAUUUGUAUCUUGUGAUAUUUGGUAUCAGUAUAAAUGUAGUCCCACCUUGCAUAUAGCAUGUUUGUAUUAAUAUGUUAUACAUUUCCUGAAAUUUUUUAAAUAUUUUAUUAGCUACAUGUAUUUUUGUUAUUUUGUGUUUUUUGUUUUAGUAACUGAUGAGCCAAACAUUUUUUUUUAAAUAAAAAAAGCACAACGUGCCUGGAAGACCAGAAUAUUUUGCAAUAUAUUACUCCGCAUUAUAUUAGUCAAUAUAUUAUUCUGAAGCUUCAUUACUAAGAAUUUAGUUUCAUUUUACCAAUCAAGUUCUCAUUAAUGUCUUUUACCACUACUGUAAUGCUGCAAUUUCCUUUGGAUCAAUAAAGUUUCUAUCUAUCAUUUAUCUAUCUAUCUUAUCUAUAUGUACGCACACAGACACAUAUAUAUACA
ensembl:lncRNA